rnacentral:rRNA from 1 species
UACGUAGGGGGCAAGCGUUGUCCGGAAUUAUUGGGCGUAAAGAGCGCGUAGGCGGUCCGAUAAGUCGGCUGUGAAAGUCAGGGGCUCAACCCUUGAAAGCCGGCCGAUACUGUCGGACUAGAGUCCGGAAGAGGCGAGUGGAAUUCCCGGUGUAGCGGUGAAAUGCGCAGAUAUCGGGAGGAACACCGGUGGCGAAGGCGGUUCUCUGGGCCUUACCUGACGCUGAGGAGCGAAAGCGUGGGGAGCGAACAGG